CCUACGGGUGGCAGCAGUGGGGAAUAUUGCACAAUGGGCGAAACCCUGAAGCAGCGACGCCGCGUGAGGGAAGACGUAACUCGUGAUGUAAAGCCCUAUUAGCCGGGAAGAAAAUGACGGUUCCUGAGUAAGAAGCCCCGGCUAACUACGUGCCAGCAGCCGCGGUAAUACGUCGGGGGCAAGCGUUAUUCGGAUUUACUGGGUGUAAAGGGAGAGUUGACGGCACUGCAAGGCAAAUGGGAAAACUACGGGCUCAACCUGUGGCCUGCCGUUGAAACUGUAGUUCUUGAGUACUGGAGAGGCAGACGGAAUGCGUGGUGUAGCGGUGAAAUGCGUAGAUAUCAGGAAGAACUCCGGUGGCGAAGGCAGUCUGCUGG
rnacentral:rRNA from 1 species